rnacentral:tRNA from 1 species
GGGGUUGUGGCUCAGCGGUAGAGCACUCGCCUAGCAUGUGCAAGACCCUGAGUUCAAUCCUCAGCACCACA